GUUUGAUCCCGCUCGAUUGAACGCUCGGCGGGAUGCUUCGGCAUGCAGCCGAACGGCAGCACGGACUUCGGUCUGGUGGCGAGUGGCGCAUCGGGGUGAGUAAUGUAUCGGAACGUGCCUAGUAGCGGGGAUAAUCACGCGAAAGCGUAGCUAAUACCGGCAUGCCUUCGGGGAAAGCGGGGACCUUCGGGCCUCGCACUAUUAGAGCGGCCGAUAUCGGAUUAGCUAGUUGGUGGGGUAAACGGCUCACCAAGGCGACGAUCCAGCAUGCUGGUUUGAGAGGACGACCAGCCACAUUGGGGACUGAGACACGGCCCAGACUGCAUGGGAGGCAGCAGUGGGGACUUUGGACAAUGGGGAAAAACCCCUGAUCCAGCCAUCCCGCGUGUGCGAUGAAGGCCUUCGGGUUGUAAAGCACUUUUUUGGCAGGAGAAGAAACGGCACGGUGAUACUACCUCAAAAAACUGACGGUACCUGCACUAAGCACCGCCAACUACGUACAGCAGCCGCGGCAGUAAUAAUAGUAGGCAAGCGUUAAUCGAAUUACUGGCGAAGCGUGGCAGGCGGUUUCGGAAAAGAAAGAUGUGAAAUCCCGUAUUUAACUUUGAACGUAUUUCCUUAACUACCGAGCGAGUGGAACAGAGGAGGUGGAAUUCCGCGUAGCAGGAAUGCGUAGAUAUGCGAGUAACACCGAUGGCGAACCAGCUUUUUACCUCCGAUAACACUGACGCUCAUGCACGAAAGCGUGGGGAGCAAACAGGAUAUACCCCAGAAACCACGCCUCAAACGAUGUCACCAUACGUUAAAUGGGCCUUGGUAGCGUGGCGCACAGGGCGGAAUCGCCUGGGGAGCAUGGUCACGAUUAAAACCUGCUGAACGACGGGGACCUGCACAAGUUAAAGGAUGAUGUGAUUAAUUCCGAUGCAACGCGAAAACCUUACCUACCCUUGACAUGUCUGGAAUCCUGAAGAGAUUUGGGAGUGCUCGCAAGAGAACCGGGACAGGUGCUGCAUGGCUGUCAGUCGUGUCGUGAGAUGUUGGGUUAAGUCCCGCAACGAGCGGCAACCUUGGUUGGCUAUUGCUACGCCGAAAGGCACUCUAAUGACUGCCAGACAAACCGGAGGAAGGUGGAAGACGUCAAGUCCUCAUGGCCCAUAGUAGGGCUUCACACGUCAUACAAUGGUCGGGACAGAGGGUCGCUAACCCGGGGCGAGGGGGGAGCCAAUCCCAGAAACCCGAUCGUAGUCCGGAUCGCAGUCUGCAACUCGACUGCGUGAAGUCGGAAUCAGCAGUAAUCGCGGAUUCGCAUGUCGUGGUGAAUACGUUCCCGCAAUCUUGUACACCGCCCGUCACACUCAGGUGGAGUGGGUUUACCAGAGAUAGCUUAACCGUAAUAGAGGGCGAUUACCAGGAUUCAUGAUUGGUGAAGUCGUAACAAGGUAACCUGAAGAUAUCAAUUACGC
rnacentral:rRNA from 1 species